CGUGACGUCUCGCGCAUGCGCAGUCUCUCGCCACCCGCCCCUAAGGGCUCGCGCCGGCCGGGGCCGGAUGUAACCGCUGCGCUCGUUCCCGCGCCGCCAUUUUGUCUCUCCCGCCGCCCGCCGCCCGGAUCCUCUCAGGAUGGCGCCCAGCCCCCGCGGCCCGACGCUCCGCCCCGCCGCCCCGCACCCCCGGCAGCGCCUCCGACACCGCUGAGGACCCUUCUCGCGCCGCUCAUGGAGCCGAUCGGCCGGCAGCGGCCCAGCCCCGCCGUGGGGCCGGCUCGGCCCGGCUCUCUUCUCGGCUUCCCCGUCGCUUGGCCUAAGCUCCCCGGCCCGGCCCAACCCUCCGCCUCCCCUUCGGCCCCUCCGCAGCCCAGCCCGCCGUUCUCCUGGCUGCGGCUGCUCUCUCAGCUCCUUUCCCCUCUGCCCGCUCUGUUACAGCGCUUGCGGCCCGGCCCGGCUCUGAGCAGCGCUUUGUGCCCCGCUGGGCCUUCAGCUCCGCCGCCUCCUUUGCUGCUGCCGCCCGCAGCGCUACGAUGGGCCGAGGAGAAGAAGGGAACGGAGGGCGCGGAGCCCGCCCGGGGGCUGGUUGUGCCUCACGCCGGGUUCCUUUCCUUCGUGCUUCGGGGAGCAAACGGCCCGGAGUGCCGCUCAUCCAGCAGCCAUCUGCCGCAGCCUCUAAGCGCCGAGGCGUGGGGAGGGCAGGGUCGGCUGGUUGAGUUGGAACAGCUCCGCAGCAAACGGCUGGAUUGCCUACGGCUGCGGGGAAUGGCCGUGCCUGAGCCGGAUCACGGGUAUCACAGCCUGGAGGAGGAGCAGCAGCAGCACAGGGGAGCCCUGCGAGGGGACUGCGAGCAGCGUGGAGUCUGGAGGCAACCCGAUGAGCUGGAGGGAUCCCGGGGUUCGGCUGAGAAGGGAGAAGUGCAGGAGGAACUUUGUGCUGCGGAGGGCUCUGAAACAGAGAGAAACCUGUUUGUGUCGGCCAGGCCUGCCUGUGCUAAUAAGUUAAUAGACUACAUCCUGGGGGGGAGCUCCAGUGGGGAGGAGAGUGCGGAUGAUGAGGAAGACUGGGAUGAUGAUAAUGAUGAUGAUGAUGAUGAUGAUGGGUUUGACAGCGAAGGGCUGCUCUCAGAUUCAGAUGACAGUAGCCAGAAAGGGGAGAGGUUGCAUCUCUGGAACUCCUUCUUCAGCUUGGAUCCUUACAACCCUCAGAACUUUACUGCAACCAUUCAGACAUCUUCCAGUGAGUCGGGGAAGGGUAUGCCCUGUAUGGCCAAUGUGGAAGAGGAGGAGGAGGAGGAUUCUUCGUGGGCAGAGUCAUCUUCAGGCUCUUCUCACCCCAGUUCGGAAGAUGAGGACGAGUGGGAUUGUAGCAGCGUGGACGAGGCAGAAAACUUGAAACUUUGGAACUCAUUCUGUACCUCAGAUGAUCCUUAUAACCCUUUAAAUUUCAAGGCACCCUUUCAAACAGCGGAGAAAAGAGGGAAGCCCAGCCUCAAAGGAACAGAGGGGCUGAGUUUGAUCACUUCUGAGCAUAGUCACUUAACUGUCUGUCAGGUACAGCUGGAAAAGCAUAACUGUGGGGUCACAGACUUGGUGCAGCAUGGCAUUCUUUCUGGUGAAAAAUGUAGAAGUACCAAGAGGAAAAAGGUGACCUUCCUUGAAAAAGUCACAGAGUAUUAUGUGAGCAGUGAGGAGGAUCGUAAAGGACCCUGGGAAGAGCUGGCACGAGAUGGCUGCAGGUUCCAGAAACGCAUCCAAGAAACAGAAGAAGCCAUAGGAUAUUGCUUCACCACAGAGCAUAGACAGAGAGUUUUUAAUAGACUCCAAAAAACCAACCACAAGGAGGAUGAUCUCUUCUAGCACCUUAACACAUCUGGUGGUUGUGUGACCCUGAGCACUCAUCAACAUCUUCCAAACCAGAAUUGGCAGCUGUGUGUGCUGUUUUGAAAUGGGGAGAAAAGUGGGAUUUGAACUCUUUUUUUCCCUAGUUUAAUAUUCAGCCACAAAUGCUCUUGUGUGUGUCCCAUUUUGAUAGACAGACAAAACCUUUUGAGUAUCCUUGAGGCUGAGGGUGGUAUAAUUGUGUUCCCCUUAAGUAACACCUGAGGAAACAGACUGCUUUAGCUUAAAUCCAUUCCAAAAAAAUGCCUUGUCUGCCGUAAGUUGAGAAGUGGUGGCUGUUAAGUUGGAAUUUUGCACUUUGAAAAAGCAAAACAUAUUUUGAAGGAAAUAUUUAUGGGAUUCAGAACCUCGUUAUUACAGUUUUGAUUUAAAGUUUGUGUUGGCAUGUGCUGUUUUUGUGUGGUUCUUUAUUUUUUCUAACCUGUACAGAAGUCUCCAGUUUUUGUUAGCUGUUAAUGUUAACUUUACUGUGCAAAGCAGGUGGAUUCUCCUUCCUUUCAAGAUCCCAGUUUUGCGUGUGACUGAUGGAUUGUGUGACACUUUGAUGUCUUCAUAUUUCAGUCUGUGACACUGAGGGAUUCAGGGGAGCUCUGGUGCACUGCACACCCUUUGGGUUGUCUCUAUUUAAGUAAUACCUUUACCCAGUCCUGUUCCAAAGGGUGUUGCCUACUGGUGAACCACCUCUUUGCUUUCAGGGCAUAGCAAAGCUGCAGCUCGUGCUCUGAGUUUAGAUAGCUGUGCAUGGGGAGCUGCACCAUAAGAUGAUCUUCAGAUCAUCUUGGAACAACUUCACCGUGAUGGAUUUUGCUUUUUGAAGGUGGAUUGAAGUGGAGUGUUCUUCAUUUUUAUUUUUAUCUGGUCCUUGCAAGGAGAAUUAUCUUCAGCUUCUGGAAAUCUAACACUGGGGAUGCUGUGUUGUUACCAAAAGCAGUAUUAAGACCUCUAUGCAUCUUCACCUUUGUUCACCUGGUAUCCAAACAGCAUUUCAUGUCUGGGAUCUCACACUUGAGGUCCUCGGUGGAAGGAAAGCUCACAUUAUUGGUGCUCCUAACUUUUAAGUGUUUCACUGCUGCUCAGUCAAAGUAAAACAGGGCAGUUUGGGUAUGUUUUUGGAGCUGAAAGAUGUUGGAUUUUAGUUGGCCAGGCCAUGAGGUUGUGCAGUGAAAUAAAUAUCAAACGUUAAACCUAAAGAAUUCCUAUCAGUUUGCAAAAUGUGGUGUGAGUAAAUGAUUUGCUUCUUGAUUUGUUCAGCUGUGCACACGUGGAUCUGUUGUUGGAAGGGAGAAAGCUGUAUACAAUUCAGUUUUCUCAUCUCUAAUGAAUUCAGAUUUGAAUCCAAAAGAAAGUGAUGGAUACGUGGAGAGAAGAACUUCACAAAAUACUGAGUUUUCUUCUUUAUUUUUGGCCCCGGCUUCAUUUGUCUCAAAUUUCAGAGCUCUUAAGGUUGACGCUUUUUGUAUUCAGUUUCUUUGGAUUUAAAAAUUGCAUUUCUUUGCUGCAGGCUGGAAAUGUUAGAAUUAAGGAAUUUGGAAGGUCAGCUGAAAUGCAGGAGAGCUGCCACAAUAAUACAGAGCUCGUUGGUCUUUUAGAUUGGUUCAUUGGAAGCCAGGCAACAUUGCUUGAAUCCCUUUGGAAUGAAGAAAUCGUUUUUCUCUCAUCAGAUCAUGCCCUCGAAUUCAAUGGAACAGCUUUCUGUGGUUAGGAGUAAAUUUUCCUGUGUUGUUUGAUAACUGCUCUGCUUUUUUGUUCAGGAAAAAGCAUGCAGGACGAUUGAUGUGUUAGAAUUACAGAAAACAUGUUGCUGUGUGACCCCAGCAUGGCUGAUAAAUCAAAAUGCUGUUCCUUGCUCUUGGUAAAAUACACCAUAUCGAUUUUUCCGUGGCAUUCCUCAUCCAUUUGCUUUGGGAGAGCUUGCUGUGCUCCAGCUGCUCUGGCUGACACACCUGGUGUUGGCAUGAAGUUCUGGAAUGAUGUGAAUUAACAGCUGCUAACGCUGCUCCACUCUUUGCAGACACUUGGGAAAGGCUGCAGCUGAAAGGAGCAGAGUUGACAAAUGGUCCCCAAACUCCAUUGCCAAACUGCUGCUUCCAACAGCACUUCUGAUUGCUGAGAUAAUUCGUUUCAACACGAGCACUCAGUCCUAAAACUGGUGGUUCUCAGUGACAAAUUGCUGCUUGCACUGAGCUGGACGAGGAGGAGCAUUUGGAACUGCCUGGAGUGCCAUCCCACUCUGAGGACUUGAAAGCAGAGAACAAACCUACGCAGUUACUGUGAGCUGCAGCAGCUUUUUGAAGCCGUGCUCACCUGUUCUGCUGGCUCCAAAAUCUGCCUUAAGAAUGAGAGUUGUAAUUUCUUUUGAUUCAGCUUAAAGAAAUACAGUUAGUGUUGCUAAAUGGGAGCUCCUCCAUAUCUGGCAGCACAUCAAGGUGCCAUCUGGAAUGGAGAAAUCCUGCUGUGUUUUUUUUUAUUCUAUCAGCACUGAAGGCUGCAGUUGGAGCUCAGCUGACGAUUUAUCCGUGUUGGAGUGGAAUUGUUCUGUGGCUGAAUCUUCUCCAGGGGACUUCAGAACUUGUUUGUCAGCAAAGCACAUGGGGAGUAAAUAAGCUGCUAUUUUUGUAGUCACUGCUGACUGCAUCCCCCAAAGUGCUGCCUGCAAGUGAAUCCAGUUGCAGUCAGUCCCACAAAAAAGGAGUUUCUUCUGAAGCUGCCAGGCAGAAGAAGGCAAUGGUAACUGCAGGAGGGAUGAGAAUCACACACUGACUGCAAUUCCAGGGAAAGCCCAGUGCUUCUCUGCUGCACGGAGGUGAUGGGCUGCACCUUAGAUGUAACCCCAAGGUCCCAUUCUGUGCCAAGGGAGGUGGUAGCAAAGUGCUUUCUGAAAGCUGUCCAUUAGUCUUGAAGGCACGGAGUAUUAGAGCCCAUUAGCAGCAGGCAUCCAUCUGCCCUGACUGCUAAUGCUGCAGAUAAGGUGGCUGGCAAUAAAAGCACGUGCUGCCUUGUAACAGCUGUACAAGCACAUUGUGUAUGUGUCCCUUUCGUUGCCUGUUUUCAAUGCUUUGUUCAACAACUGACAUCUUCCACGUUCUUCUUUCAAGCAGUAGGCGCUGCUCCUAGCAGAACAGAAACAAACAAAUGCAAAAGCAAAGCCAACAAACCCAAACCAAACUCAGUAAUGCACUGUGCUGCCUCCAUCUUUCCACCUGCUCCUCCCAUGCAGCCCCACUCUGGCAGCUUGAAACCUUCACUGGAGUGCUCCAAGCACUGCUAAGGCCAUUUUCUCAGCAUCCUCUGGAGGAUCAGAGCUCAUAGAGAUGAUAGGAAUCAGCCACAGCCUCAGUCCAAUGAAAAGGAAAUAACAGAGAUUGAGCUGAGAGCAAAGGUUCAGUGUAGGAGCAAGGGCUGGCACAGAGCAUGGCUGCACUGCACAGCCUGCAGCAAGGCCAGGAGCUGCUGGGGAGGCAGAGGGAAAGCAGAGCCCUUCUGCACCUGGUUUUCAAUGGAGAAGCAGCCCCAGGUAGCCCUGAUUGUUACAGGACUCAGGUGGGAGCUGCUGGGUGCUCAACAGCAGUAGGGGCUGAGUUUUGUAUAUGGACUUCAUCCAUCCAUCUAU